rnacentral:rRNA from 1 species
GACGAACCGUGCGAGCGUUGUUCGGAAUCACUGGGCUUAAAGGGCGCGUAGGCGGGUCGGCAAGUCCGGGGUGAAAGCCCCCAGCUCAACUGGGGAAGGGCCUUGGAAACUGCCGGUCUCGAGGGAGGUAGGGGCCUGUGGAACUUCGGGUGGAGCGGUGAAAUGCGUUGAUAUCCGAAGGAACGCCGGUGGCGAAAGCGACGGGCUGGAUCUCUUCUGACGCUGAGGCGCGAAAGCUAGGGUAGCGAACGGG